UAAAAUCUUCCUCUGCCUCUCUUUUAGAAGGACCCUUGUGAUUACAUUUAAGAUCCAUCUGAAUAAUCCGGGAUAAUCUCCCCACUCAAGGGCUUUCAGUCACACCAGCAAAGUCCGUUUUGCCAUGUAGGGUAAUAUUCACAGGUUCCAGGGGUUAGGACCUGGCUGUCUUUGGGGGCCAUCAUUCAGCCCACCCAGUCAGUAACCUGUGAAAUGCACGUGGCCCCAUCAGCUCAUGGUUCGGGGUUGGCUGGUCUUGAGGAAGACAUCAGGCUGAAGGAAGUCUUCUGGAGGUGGCCUUUUCAAUCCUUCCAGCUACCAGUCAGUCCACAAGCACUUAUGGGACACCAGACCUUGCCUGGAGCAGCCUUGGGGAAUCAAAUAGGAGCCAGUCCCUGCCCUCCAGAAACUGUGUGUCUGGGGGAGAAGAUCACACACAGGAAAAUCAAGUGGUGACAAGAGGUGCCAUGAGACAGUAUAUAGUUCAUUUCCCCACCGCAAGAGUAAAGGGCUUAGGGUCAGAGGCUUUGGUGCCUGAGUUCUGACUCUGCCAAUUAUUAGCAUUGGGACCUCAGACUCAGCUGGCAGAGAGGAGAAGCAGCGGGACAUCAGGACUAUGGCUGGACGUCAGAGAGAAGCAGCUUAACUUCAGAGGUGCAGCUUGAUGGUGUAACUUAGGAGAAGAAUCUGACUGGAGACGGCCAGACUUCAGAAGAAGAUGACCUACCCCCCCAUCCCCUUUUCAGCUUCCCUUCCCGCUGAGAGCCACUUUUAUUGGCAAUAAAAUCCUCCACAUUUACCACCUUUCAAUGUGUUCAUGUGACUUCAUUAUUCCUGGACACCGGACAAGAGCUCAGGGGCCACAGGUGUGGAUAUGAAA
rnacentral:lncRNA from 1 species